CGUGAGGGAAAGGUGAAAAGUACCCCGGGAGGGGAGUGAAAUAGUACCUGAAACCAUGUGCAUACAAGCCGUUGGAGCCGUAAUAGGUGACAGCGUGCCUUUUGAAGAAUGAGCCUGCGAGUUAGUGGUAUGUGGCGAGGUUAACCCGUGAGGGGAAUCCGUAGCGAAAGCGAGUCCGAAUAGGGCGAAUUAGUCGCAUGCUCUAGACCCGAAGCGAAGUGAUCUAUCCAUGGGCAGGUUGAAGCGCGGGUAAGACCGCGUGGAGGACCGAACCCACCUAGGUUGAAAACUGGGGGGAUGACCUGUGGAUAGGGGUGAAAGGCCAAUCAAACUUCGUGAUAGCUGGUUCUCCCCGAAAUGCAUUUAGGUGCAGCGUUGCAUGUUUCUUACCGGAGGUAGAGCUACUGGAUGGUCGAGGGGGCCUACAAGCUUACCAACAUCAGCCAAACUCCGAAUACCGGUAAGUGAGAGCGCAGCAGUGAGACUGUGGGGGAUAAGCUUCAUGGUCGAGAGGGAAACAACCCAGAAUAGCAACUAAGGUCCCAAAGCCUGUGCUAAGUGGAAAAGGAUGUGAAGUCGCAUAGACAACCAGGAGGUUGGCUUAGAAGCAGCCACCCUUAAAAGAGUGCGUAAUAGCUCACUGGUCAAGUGAUUCCGCGCCGACAAUGUAGCGGGGCUCAAGCACACCGCCGAAGCCGUGUCAUUCAUACAAUAUCCAAGCCUUCGUGGUUCAGGAGUAUGGAUGGGUAGGGGAGCGUCGUGUGGCGAGCGAAGCGGCGGGGUAACCCAGCCGUGGACGCCACACGAGUGAGAAUGCAGGCAUGAGUAGCGAAUGACGGGUGAGAAACCCGUCCGCCGAAUGAACAAGGGUUCCAGGGUCAAGCUAAUCUGCCCUGGGUAAGUCGGGACCUAAGGUGAGGCCGACAGGCGUAAUCGAUGGACAACGGGUUGAUAUUCCCGUACCCGCGACGACGCGUCAAUGCUGAAUCUAGAAAUGCUAAGAGCACCAAAGCGUGGAGACCUUCGGGUUGAGACGUGGAGGUCCUCGAACCAAUCUGGUAGUAGGCAAGCAAUGGGGUGACGCAGGAAGGUAAUCCAACCCGGGCGAUGGUUGACCCGGGGUAAGGCUGUAGGGAGAGUUAUAGGCAAAUCCGUAACUCACAUAUCCUGAGAGCUGACGCCGAGCCGAUUAUGGCGAAGUGGAUGAUCCUAUGCUGCCGAGAAAAGCCUCUAGCGAGUGUCGUUGCGGCCCGUACCCCAAACCGACUCAGGUGUUCAGGUAGAGAAUACUAAGGCGAUCGAGAUAACCAUGGUUAAGGAACUCGGCAAAAUGCCCCCGUAACUUCGGGAGAAGGGGGGCCGCGGUUUGUGUAGAGAUUUACUCUCGAAGCAGAUUGCGGCCGCAGAGACUAGGCUGAAGCGACUGUUUACUAAAAACACAGGUCCAUGCGAAGUCGCAAGACGAUGUAUAUGGACUGACGCCUGCCCGGUGCUGGAAGGUUAAGGGGACCGGUUAGCCGCAAGGCGAAGCUGAGAACUUAAGCCCCAGUAAACGGCGGUGGUAACUAUAACCAUCCUAAGGUAGCGAAAUUCCUUGUCGGGUAAGUUCCGACCUGCACGAAUGGCGUAACGACUUCAGCGCUGUCUCAACCGUGGACUCGGCGAAAUUGCACUACGAGUAAAGAUGCUCGUUACGCGCGGAAAGACGGAAAGACCCCGGGACCUUUACUAUAUCUUGAUAUUGGUACUCGGAAC
rnacentral:rRNA from 1 species